rnacentral:lncRNA from 1 species
ACAAUACAUUAGAAUAAAAACAGUCAUGAAACUGGCGUACAUGUUUUACAUAAUUAAGCAAGCAUCGCUAGAACAAUCACCGCGGCUCACAUUACAGCUCCAGCUAUCACAAACUGGCCUACCAAAACUCCAGCAACAUCGGCAUGGAGGUGGUCGGGUUGGUCCAUCACAGCAGCAAGGUCCCCAAACACACAAACGAUGACAUCGCAUGCAACAAAAUGGUAGCAGUGGAGGUUGUGGUGGGGGUGGUCCAUCACAGCAGCAAGGUCCCCAAACACAGACACGAUUGCAUCGCAUGCAACAAAAUGGUAGCAGUGGAGGUUGUGGUGGGGGUUGUGGUGGACGCGGUUCAGGUUGUGGUUGAGGUUGUGGUGGCGGUUGAGGUUGAGGUUGUGGUUGUGGUUGUGGUUGUGGUGGCGGUGGUGGUCGCGGUUUCGGUGGCGAUGGCGGUGAAGGCCUGGGUGGGGGUGGCGAUGGUUUGAUGAUCUUAAUGCCCUUGAUGGAACCGCCACCCUUGCGGCAUAACUUGUCCCUGAAC